AUAAAUAAACUUUCGUUUCGUUCAUUAAGUCCAUAUGUUAAAUUCGAAAUUUGACUGCAAUCAUUACCAAAGGAAAUGCCUAAUUAUUACAUUGUGCUGUAAAAAAAUAUAUCCAUGCAGAUUGUGUCAUGAUAAAGAGGAAGAUCAUCAAUUAAUUAGCAAAAAUGUGGAAGAAAUUAAAUGUGUCAUUUGUGGCUUUAUUCAAUUAGUCCAAAACAAUUGUCAAAAAUGUGGAACUAAGUUUGGGAAAUAUUACUGUAAAAAAUGUAGAUUAUUUGAUGAUACAGAUAAAAAACAGUUUCAUUGCGAAGGUUGUGACAUUUGUAGGAUUGGGGGAAGAGAAAAUUAUUACCACGACUAUGUAUGCGGUAUGUGUUAUCAAAAAGGGACAGUCCAUAAAUGCAUUGAAAAUAUUGGGAGAUCGCCCUGUCCAGUUUGUCUAGAGGAUCUUCACACUUCAACAAUACCUUGUAUAGUCAACAAAUGCGGUCAUAUAUUACACCAAACGUGCUUAAGAAUUUUAAAGACAAAUAGUGAUAAUAAUUGUCCCUUAUGCAGAACACCCAUGAUUACGGAUGAAGAUUUGGAAAAAUUAACAUCCGCUCAGCUAGUACUGGAAACACGCGUUGAAAUUCUGUGCUACAAUUGCGGACACAUUUUCGGGAUUGGAUACAGUUAAAAAGAUCAAUAUAUGGAAGGAUUCAGCAAAAGAAUUAUGGGCCCCACGAGGUGCAAGAGAUAGCUUGAAUGUUUGGUAGAGUUAAGAAUCCACUGACCCACAAUUACUUUUCAUACGUUAGCUAAUGAAAAUGGUUACACGUGCUUGGAUUGCCACUCAACUCAUACGGGAUUGAUAACAUAAAUAAUUUUUUAUUAAAAAACUUCAG